ensembl:lncRNA ITGB2-AS1 ITGB2 antisense RNA 1
AGGAAAUGGAGUUGGGUGCCCCAGGUGGGGUGCUCCAACGAGCUCUUUCUCAUGGGAUCCCCCACAGAUCCAUACAAACAGGCUGACCAUCAGGGCUGGUCCCAGGCCACCAGGCUGGGUGCAAUGCAGAAAUGGAGAUCUGCCCCGGGGAAGGCAGGUGAGUGUAGGAAGGAGGGAGGGCUGCGAGAAGCUGGGGGCAGCCUCCAUCCCCCUGUGGCCUGGGUGGGCCUGUGCCCCCCCAACCCCCCGACGCAGCUUCCCACACUGGGAGCACAGUUCCUCCCUCCUCUGCCUUCCUCUGCGUGGUGUGGCUCCUCCUUGAGGGAGAGAGCUGAGGAGGUGGCAUUCUUGCUUCCCUGACUCACCCAAAGGAAGAUUUCACAGCCCCUGGCAAGGGCUGCCAGACAGGCUCACCUGUCACCCCCUGUCCAGGGACAGACUGACCGGUAGCCUUGGCUGGGUGGGGAGUUAUGCUGGGAAGUCUUCCAGGCCCCCUGGGGGUGGGAAGAUGCUCAAUGUUCAAAGGAGAUGGAACGAGGAAAACAGUUAAGCAACGAUGGACUCCAGGGGGAAAACCGGAGAAGAAGAAACUGUAAUUCCAGUCCGUCCACAUGGCCCAGCAGUGAACGACAAUUGCAUGGUCAGAGAGAGCAAAAGCACCACGCCGACUGAAAGCAGCUCGAAUGUGGUGGGGCAGUGGGAGAUAAUGCCCUCAUCUACCAAAACAAGAUCUGCCACCUUCGCAGACCACUAAACCUCAUUCCUCCACCCACCUCCCCACCCCCAUGAAGGCCAACUGACCAGAGAGCAGGGCUCCCGAGGGUCGGGUCGGGUCGGGUCGGGUUGGGUCGGGUGGGUGCCUCUUACCCUAACUGAGGCUCUGCCCUGGACUCGGAGUCCACUUGCUGUCAAAGCAUGCCACUCUUCUUUCUGAUACUUGACAUAUUUCUUUUCCCGUUCAAUUCAUGGUUUCUGCCCAAACGGAGCCACGUGAGGACUUCUUUGGGGAUGUGUCUCCAAGAAAAGUGUGGGCUGCCUUCCUCACCCUGGAUGCCUGUGGGCAGCCUUCCUCACCCUGGAUGCCUGUGGGCAGCCUUCCUCACCCUGGAUGCCUGUGGGCUGCCUUCCUCACCCUGGAUGCCUGUGGGCAGCCUUCCUCACCCUGGAUGCCUGUGGGCUGCCUUCCUCACCCUGGAUGCCUGUGGGCAGCCUUCCUCACCCUGGAUGCCUGUGGGCAGCCUUCCUCACCCUGGAUGCCUGUGACUUGGUUUCCAUGGGGGCUUCCUAAGCUCAGGGACCCCAAGCCUCCAUCAAAUCUAAUGACCCGCCUUGUCUCUGAACACACCUGUGUUGUCCCCGAGCCCCUCACCAACCCCCUCUGCAACCCGGCCCACGCAUUUCCCAUCCUGAAGGGUCCAGCUCAUAGGCCGGCCCAUGUGUUCCCUUUACCCCUGCUUUGUCCCUACCUGGUGGGGAGCUGUCCCUUCUGGGCCCUAGUGUGGCACUUCACACACAAAUGUGUCCUGUGGGUGGUAUCUGGGCCUCCCCCUGCAGUGAGGGGAUGACCAAUGUGCAGAGCUCACUGGGCCUGGAUAUGGGCUCGGGUGGCACAGAACAGAGAGAAAGUGCUCCGUAAAAGUGAGCUGCGAUGCGGAGGUGGGCAAGCUCUUCCCUGGAGGGGGAAGAGCUCUCAACCCAGAGGGAUCUGACCAGGAAGGUUCACCCCCCCUCCACCCAGGAAGCCCCUGCAGACAGUAUGUGUUUUAGGCUUUGCUGGCCAAAUGGUCUCUGCCGCGACUACUCAGCUCUGCCAUUGUGGCUGCAGAGUGACCAUAGACCUUCUGAAAGUGAAUGAGUAUGACUGUGUUCCAAUAAAACUUUAUUGACAAAAACA